rnacentral:rRNA from 1 species
ACGACAAGCGGUGGAUGAUGUGGUUUAAUUCGAUGCAACGCGAAAACCUUACCCACCUUUGACAUGUAUGAAGUUCCAGAGAUGGAUUCGUGCUCGAAAGAGAGCCAUAACACAGGUGCUGCAUGGCUGUCGUCAGCUCGUGUCGUGAGAUGUUGGUUAAGUCCCGCAACGAGCGCAACCCUUGUCAUUAGUUGCUACAUUCAGUUGGGCACUCUAAUGAGACUGCCGGUGACAAACCGGAGGAAGGUGGGGAUGACGUCAAGUCCUCAUGGCCCUUAUAGGUGGGGCUACACACGUCAUACAAUGGCCGGUACAAAGGGUCGCAAACCCGCGAGGGGGAGCCAAUCCAUCAAAGCCGGUCGUAGUCCGGAUCGCAGUCUGCAACUCGACUGCGUGAAGUCGGAAUCGCUAGUAAUCGUGGAUCAGCAUGUCACGGUGAAUACGUUCCCGGGUCUU